rnacentral:tRNA from 1 species
GGGGUUGUAGCUCAGUGGUAGAGGACUCACCUCACAAGUGGGAGGCGCUGGGUUUGACCCUCAGCACCA